rnacentral:lncRNA from 1 species
GUGGAUGUUGAAGAGGAGGUGACACUUGAUGUGAGGGUGUUUGUCUCAAGCCUGGGAGGGUGUUCUGGGCCUUGGUGCCUGCGCUGGAGGAGUUGAAGUGGUUUGGAGGGCCUUAGAAAUCAGCUGGGUCAGUGGUUCUCAACUGGUGGUGAUUUUGGUAAUGUGUGAAAACAUUUCUGGUUGUCAUGAUGGAGGUAGGGGCGUGCUACCAGCCUCUAGUGGGUAGAACCCAGGGAUGAACAUCCUGUAACGCACAGGAGAGCUCCCCACAUCACAGAGUCAUCUCACCUAAAACGUCAACGGUGGCGAGGCUGAGAAAGCCCGAUCUUGGUAGCCCUGUAUUUACAGCUGUGUAAACAGGGUUCCAGGAGGCAAGGUGCCCUCCCCCAGGUAACACAGCUGGUGUAAGCAGAGAUGAGACGAGAACCAGGUUUGCUGCAAGGGUUGGGUGGGCUCUAAUCCAAUACGACUAAUGUCCUUAUGAGACGAGGAAAUUAACACAUGGAAAAGCACAGAAGGAAGACCACGUGAGGACACCAGGAGAAGAAGGCCACCUACAAGCCAAGGAGAGAGGCCUCAGAAGAAAGCAACCACACUGGCACCUUGAUCUCAGACUUCUAACCUCCAGAUUUGAUGUUCAGGUUGGCGGCAACAGUCCCCACCCUGUGCCAAAGGAAGGUUUCCAUCACUUCGAAUGGGAAGACACACUUGCGACCCCACUGUGCAGCCCUUGUGUGAUGAGAACUAUAUAAUGUUAUACCUCCUGUGCAAUUCCACGAAACAACCCCACUCUUCACCUACUCCUUGCAGCAGCGGCUGUGGUGUUGCUGUCUAAUUAUGCACAGUGUUGUGUGGGUGAUUUUCCUGAGUUGGACAGGACAGCUCCUCAAAGAAUUUUAUAUGUGUGUGUGUGUGUGUGUGUGUGUGUGUGUGUGUGUGUGUUCAGCCUUCCUCAGACCACCAAAAUAAAUCCUGUGCUUUCUUGCUCAAUUCUUACCUUUUUUGGUUCUAAUUGGAGAGUCAGGAAAGCAGUCUUUGGGUGGCGAGAGAAGGGGGAGGAGGACGAUAUCUGUGCCGGGCCUGGCGAUGGUGGGCCAGGUGUGGCUAAGAGUGGAAAGAAAGUUUCUCAAAAAAAAGUCAUUCUAAACUAUGUAUUUGGAUCCCGUUCAUGCUUUUUGAGAAAUGCAGGUAAAUAAUUUUUUAUUAUUUUUGGUUGUUAUAUUGUCUAUUUUGGCUAUGAUACUCCCCACAAAUAAACUAUGAAGACCCCUUACAAUAAAGAUUAUAUUUUAAUAAAAAGUAAA